rnacentral:rRNA from 1 species
GACGAACGCUGGCGGCGUGCUUAACACAUGCAAGUCGAACGGUAAGGCCCUUUGGGGUACACGAGUGGCGAACGGGUGAGUAACACGUGGGUGAUCUGCCCUGCACUUCGGGAUAAGCCUGGGAAACUGGGUCUAAUACCGGAUAGGACCACUGCCUGCAUGGGUGGUGGUGGAAAGCUUUUGCGGUGUGGGAUGGGCCCGCGGCCUAUCAGCUUGUUGGUGGGGUGAUGGCCUACCAAGGCGACGACGGGUAGCCGGCCUGAGAGGGUGACCGGCCACACUGGGACUGAGAUACGGCCCAGACUCCUACGGGAGGCAGCAGUGGGGAAUAUUGCACAAUGGGCGCAAGCCUGAUGCAGCGACGCCGCGUGAGGGAUGACGGCCUUCGGGUUGUAAACCUCUUUCAGCACCGACGAAGCGCAGGUGACGGUAGGUGCAGAAGAAGGACCGGCCAACUACGUGCCAGCCGCCGCAGUAA